rnacentral:rRNA from 1 species
AGCAUAUCAAUAAGCGGAGGAAAAGAAACCAACAGGGAUUGCCUCAGUAACGGCGAGUGAAGCGGCAACAGCUCAAAUUUGAAACCUGGCGCUUGCGUCCGGAUUGUAAUUUGCAGAGGAUGCUUCUGGGCAGCGGCCGUUCUAAGUUCCUUGGAACAGGACGUCAUAGAGGGUGAGAAUCCCGUAUGUGACCGGCGCGCACCCUCCACGUAGCUCCUUCGACGAGUCGAGUUGUUUGGGAAUGCAGCUCUAAAUGGGUGGUAAAUUCCAUCUAAAGCUAAAUAUUGGCCCGAGACCGAUAGCGCACAAGUAGAGUGAUCGAAAGAUGAAAAGCACUUUGGAAAGAGAGUUAAAAAGCACGUGAAAUUGUUGAAAGGGAAGCGCUUCCCACCAGACUCCGCGGCGGUGUUCCGCCGGCCUUCUGGCCGGUCUACUCGCCGCCGUGGGGCCAGCAUCGUCUGGGGCCGUCGGAUAAGACCGUAGGAAUGUAGCUCAUUGAGUGUUAUAGCCUGCGGUGAUGCGACGCGCCCCGGGCGAGGUCCGCGCUUCGGCAAGGAUGCUGGCGUAAUGGUGGGCAGCGGCCCGUCUUGAAACACGGACCAAGGAGUCUAACAUCUAUGCGAGUGUUCGGGUGUCAAACCCCUACGCGUAAUGAAAGUGAACGGAGGUGGGAGCUUCGGCGCACCAUCGACCGAUCCUGAUGUCCUCGGAUGGAUUUGAGUAAGAGCAUAGCUGUUGGGACCCGAAAGAUGGUGAACUAUGCCUGAAUAGGGUGAAGCCAGAGGAAACUCUGGUGGAGGCUCGCAGCGGUUCUGACGUGCAAAUCGAUCGUCAAAUUUGGGCAUAGGGGCGAAAGACUAAUCGAACCAUCUAGUAGCUGGUUCCUGC